GCCCGGCUAGCUCAAUCGGUAGAGCGUGAGACUCUUAAUCCUCCUUCCUAGGAAGGAAAGAAAAAGCACAUCUCAAGGUUGUGGGUUCGACCCCCACGUCGGGCU